rnacentral:lncRNA from 10 species
CCAGCUCCUCGGGUGGCUGAGGCAGGAGAAUGGCGUGAACCCAGGAGGCAGAGCUUGCAGUGAGCAGACAUGGCGCCACUGCACCCCAGCCUGGGCAACAGAGUGAGACUCUGUCUCACUCUGUUGCACAGUUUACAACAACAAAACUAUAGCAUCCAUCACAUAGAGGAGAGACUCCCCAACACACAUAUAAGGAUUACUCUCAGCCCCAGCUCCCUCAAACUUCCUAAGAUCAGCACUGGUAUCUGAUGGUGGCUCCUUGUAAAUCAAACUUAAUGGAGUAUGUGUUAUUUGGUUUAUGUUUAUGUGCAGCCUGCAUAACAACCACUCUGUCAACAUCAUGCAUAUGUUCAUUGUGUUGGUACUAGAAGACUCUAUGACACACACAAGCUGAUGUCAUCUGAUGGGUCUAUUUUAUCUACUUGGCUGUGCAAAUCCUCUUCUGUAGUAUAUGCUUUCUGGUGGACACUAAUAUGGAACACAAAGAUCUUCUCACAUUGCAGCUGCUCCCAUAUAUCCAUUGAUAUAUGCCUCUAACUCCAGACCUUUUUGUCCUUAAUCUUCUAAUCCGGUUAUCUCUUUUCCUUUAGUGCAAUUUUUCCUUAUUUGUUUGUUUUGUUUUUUUUUUUAAGUAAAUAGCUAGGCUUCUAAGCCCUACCACAGAGAGUCAACAGACAAACUGCCCAGGGAAAAGUUAUGACCUCAGGCAAAGUGAAUUUCUACAGCUAAGGCAGAUCCUGAAGAAGCUCACAAAUAAAGGCUGCAUACUCACACAUUCCCUGAAGCUUGACAGUGCCAGCCACCAUACUGUGAGGGAGCUGAAGUAAGCCCACAUGAGGAAGAAUUGAGGUCCCAAGCCAACAGCUGCAGCUAAGAUCCAAGCUCUCAACCAGUACCAGUUCAUCCGUUAUGCACACUAAGAUAUGGAAGCUAAAAGAGGACUAAGAGGAUUCUGGGGAUAUUACAAGAUAUUGCAGACUAUCUUGUUUUCCUGGAAAAGGAUUUUACCUCAGUCGACUGAAUUACUUUUUUCACUGUGUCUUGCCACUCUUCGUGCAUGCAUCAAAGACCCUAAUAUGACUUCUGGUGGCCUGGGACUCCUUGGGAAAACAGAAAAGGGGCCACAAAUCCCAUUUUGGGAACAAUCUGUUUUACUCAUGGAACCCCUGGAAUUAGAGGUGUGUAAGUACCUCUCAAAAUCUGUCUUUGUCUUCUGGCUAUGCUUUUUAUGAGGCCCUGGAAUUUGUAGUCCUAGCCCUGUUCUUAGAGUGUCUCACUAGGAGGCGUAAUAAUCCAAUUAGGAAACUAGCCAAUGAAAAAUCUCAUAACUACUGGAUCUUCUUCUGUUUAUCUGUGUGGUUACAUAUGUGUUAUGUGUGUAAUAUCUAUUAAAAAGGGCUCUAAUUAAUUGGCCUAAGAACAGUAAGCACUUAAAUAAAAUAUUUUUAAGGGAAAAGUAAAAGCUGUGUUACUUUUCAGUUCACAUGACUUUAAUCUUUACAAAUAAAAAGUCCUAGAAAUUAUUGGUAAAAUACAAAUGUCUUCAAGGUGUAAAAAUGUGGUCUAAAUUAUGCAGGCCAGAUACUAGGUUUGCUAAAUGUUUUAAGGUUGUAAACUCUUCUUUGGCCUUUAAAAACUGUCAACUCACCUGCCUCACAAUUGGUAAGGCCUGGGAACAUAGGGAAGUUACCAUGCCCGUAACUAUCCUAAAAGGAGUCAAACUUUAUCUGCAUCUAGCACAUAAUUAAAACAACCUAUCAGAUUUCACAGUAAAGUUGAAAAUUUCUAAGAGUUACCAUUAUGACAUGUAAUUGAAAUUACUAAAAAGAAAUCUACCUGCAAGGUGUAUAAAAAACAGUAAAAUGUGUUUUUAUUUAAAGAUUAUAAGAAAGCAUGGAAAUAUACAUUUUAUCUAGAAAUAAAGGAUUGUCUUUUUAAAGUAGAAAGUUUAAGCAAAUUGUGAAAAGACUGUAAAAAUUAAUCUUUCAAAGGAAACUCUGUGUGUGAACAUAUUAACUAAAUACAAAAGGGUAUUAUACUUUUUUUUCUGUAAACACUAUAAUAAAAGCAGAACAAGGUUUUCUUAAGAUGCCAAUCCACUCUUUAGCAAAAUUUGUAGAGGUUAAUAAAAGGUUUGUGAAAAUCUCACUUCAUAGUCAAACUGGUUAAGAUUAUGUAGGAUUGUCUACAAGGUUUCAUUAAAAAUUAGAGUUAAUUUUAAUAGCAAACUAAUGCAUGGGUAAAAUUUAACUUUCUCUCUUGAAUGGGAUUUUCAUGUAAUUAAAAAUGCUGAUGAAUGGUUUUUGCUUUUUCAGAUUUUUGUCUCAUCAUUUUGGCAAAACAAAUAACUUAUGGUAAUCUAAAAUUCUACUUCAUAAUAUCAAGUGUUUUAAAUUCUGAACAUAUUUAACAGGCUUCCUAAAAUCAAACUUUAGUCUCAGGGUUGUCUUUCCUGACCCCUAGCUUUUGGGUGCUGCAGAGCACCCCUGGAGCAUCUGGAAAAGAGGUAAACAGGAUUAUUUAACAUGUUUAGGCACAUGGAAUUGCCAAAAUGAUGUUUAAUACUCUUCAGGUUAUAUUCUAGGGAAUAAUAUCAACAUAUGUUCCAAAAUGGUCUGGGCUGUCUAAGGUUCUAUUGUCUGAAUAUGUGCUAUUAAUCACAAUUAAGGUUAUUAUGUUGGGUUAUUGUAAGCCAUGGAAAUAACCAAAUUUGUCAAUCAUGUUCUUGACUGUAACCACCCUGAACAUUUUGUCAUUUAUAGACAUUUGUCUUGUUUUAAUUGUCUUCAAAAGAUGGUUUAUAAUCAAGCUGUGGAACUUUAACAGGUGCUCUUCAAUGCAGGUUUCUGAUAACAGAAAAAUGUACAGGACUCAUAAAAAGCUAAAAUGUUUAGGAAUAUCAAGCAGAACAAGAGUUAACAGAAUGGAAUGAACUAAUAGAAAAUUAAAGCAAUAUUCUUAAUUUAUGCUUGGAACACUGCUGAUUAUUAUUUUGUUUUUCAAAGUCAAGGAAACUUUCUUAAAGGCUUUUAACAACUAAACAAGUUAUACUCCUGUGAACGAUAUUUAAAACGUGUUU